UGAGGAAUAUUGGUCAAUGGGCGCAAGCCUGAACCAGCCAUCCCGCGUGCAGGAAGACGGCCCUAUGGGUUGUAAACUGCUUUUCCAGGGGGAGAAACUUGCACACGUGUUGCGCAAUUGACGGUACCCUGGGAAUAAGCAUCGGCUAACUCCGUGCCAGCAGCCGCGGUAAUACGGAGGAUGCGAGCGUUAUCCGGAUUCAUUGGGUUUAAAGGGUGCGUAGGCGGACUAUUAAGUCAGUGGUGAAAUCCUGCAGCUUAACUGCAGAACUGCCAUUGAUACUGAUGGCCUUGAGUUUGGUUAAGGUAGGCGGAAUGUGUAAUGUAGCGGUGAAAGGCUUAGAUAUUACACAGAACACCAAUUGCGUAGGCAGCUUACUGAGCCGACACUGACGCUGAGGCACGAAAGCGUGGGGAUCGAACAG
rnacentral:rRNA from 1 species